rnacentral:rRNA from 1 species
AACGAACGCUGGCGGCAGGCUUAACACAUGCAAGUCGAACGCAUCCUUCGGGGUGAGUGGCAGACGGGUGAGUAACGCGUGGGAAUCUACCCUGAUCUGCGGGAUAGCUCCGGGCAACUGGAAUUAAUACCGCAUAUGUCCUGAGGGACAAAGAUUCAUCGGAUCAGGAUGAGCCCGCGUCCGAUUAGCUAGUUGGUGGGGUAAAUGCCUACCAAGGCGACGAUCGGUAGCUGGUCUAAGAGGAUGAUCAUCGGCAUUGGGACUGAGACACGGCCCAGACACCUACGGGAGGCAGCAGGGGAGGAUAUUGGACAAUGUGGGCAAGCCUGGUCCAGCCAUGCCGCAUGAUGGAGGAAGGUCUUAGGAUUGUAAAGCUCUUUCACCGGGGGCGAUAAUGACGGUACCCGGAGAAGAAGCCCCGGAUAACUUCGUGCCAGCCGCCGCCGUAA